UAUUACAAAGUUGAAUAACAUAUCUUGAUACUUGGUCAGAUACUUAUAUAUGUACGGUGAUAUAUUAUAUAUAUUCUUAGAGAAUAUUAAGCGAAUGAGAUCCAUAUAUCAAUGAAGAUCAGGACAAACGAGCAUCGAUCAAAUCAAAGCACUAUGGAUAGGGGAUGCGAUUGGGUGAAGCUGUAAAGAAUAAUAAUAAGGAUGUACCAAACAAGGACAAGUGGAACCAUAAUGGCCUUCUUAGGGCUUAAUUAAUUAGGAGUUAGGGCUAUGUGAAGGGGGUCUAAGUCGCACGUUGAAGAAUAAAGCACAUCUAUAUAUCUAUGUGUAAGAAUAAACAAAUAAAGCAUUGGUAAGAUGCAGCUUCGCCAUGCAUGGUGUGACUCAAUGAUAUGCAGUGUAUAUUAACUUCCAGAGUCUCGAUUUGAUCAUAUUUAUAAAUUAAAAAAUAUAACAACUUAUAAAUCUAUAUUUGAUAAACUUAUGUGUAUAAUUUUGAGAGGGAAAAAAUAAUUAAAACCGUAGAAAAUAUAUAUAAUUUUUUUUAUUAUACUUUAAAACUUGUAAAUGUUAAGGAAGCCGCCAGAAUCUCCAGCUUUUUGUUUAAGAUUUUACGAAACCUUGGAGUGACACUCUCUGAUAUUGUUCUACCUAUCAUUUCCAUGCACCUUUCCACACCAAGUAUCCACAAUAUAUAUAUACCUCUUCCUCUUUUAACUUCAAACACACGUUCCAUCAAUAUCCUUAAUUCCAACAUCAAAUAAUGUUCAUGUAGUUCAAAGCACUUCCUAAACGUUCAUGUGUAGAUCAAGGAAUCGAUCAAGAACAUCAAAUAACGGGGAAGAAAUUUGGGAACAAAGGGUUUACAGUUACAGUUCACGAAUGGAGGGUUUGUGAUUUGGAUUUAGGGUGCACGAAAAAAUUUGAGAAUUGGGGAGUUAUGC